UACGUAGGUGGCAAGCGUUGUCCGGAUUUACUGGGCGUAAAGAGCGCGCAGGCGGUUGAUUAAGUCGAAUGUGAAAGCCCCCGGCUCAACUGGGGAGGGUCAUUCGAUACUGGUCGACUCGAAGGCAGGAGAGGGAAGUGGAAUUCCCGGUGUAGUGGUGAAAUGCGUAGAUAUCGGGAGGAACACCAGUGGCGAAGGCGACUUCCUGGCCUGUUCUUGACGCUGAGGCGCGAAAGCUAGGGGAGCAAACGGG
rnacentral:rRNA from 1 species